rnacentral:rRNA from 1 species
UACGUAGGUGGCAAGCGUUGUCCGGAUUUAUUAGGCGUAAAGCGCGCGCAGGCGGUGAGGUAAGUCCGUCGUGAAAUCUCCCGGCUCAACUGGGAGGGUGCGGGGGAGACUGCCUGACUGGAGGCACUCAGAGGCCGGUGGAAUUCCCGGUGGAGUGGUGAAAUGUGUUUGAUAUCGGAAAGGAACGCCGGUGGCGGAAA